AUCAAAUGAAGACCUCCUAUAUUCAUUUGAUAGAAAAAUCCUAAACUUUUCUUUUUCAUAAUAAUCUCCCAUAAGGAUCGCCAAAUUUGGCGGUCUUUUU
rnacentral:sRNA from 1 species